rnacentral:rRNA from 1 species
CAGCCGCCGCGGUAAUACGAGGGGGGCAAGCGUUGUUCGGAAUUAUUGGGCGUAAAGGGUGCGUAGGUGGUUUAAUAAGUCAUCUGUGAAAUCCAUGGGCUCAACCCAUAGUCUGCAGGCGAAACUGUCGGGCUUGAGAGUGGGAGAGGUGAGUGGAAUUUCCGGUGUAGCGGUGAAAUGCGUAGAUAUCGGAAGGAACACCUGUGGCGAAAGCGGCUCACUGGACCAUUUCUGACGCUGAUGCACGAAAGCUAGGGGAGCAAACAGGAUUAGAUACCCCGGUAGUCCCUGUCUCUUAUAC